rnacentral:rRNA from 1 species
GAGGGAAAGGUGAAAAGCACUUCGAUAAGAAGAGUGAAAUAGUUCCUGAAACCAUACGCCUACAAGCGGUCGGAGCCGGUAUAUCCGGUGACGGCGUGCCUUUUGCAUAAUGAACCUACGAGUUACCAUCUCUGGCAAGGUUAAGAGUAAUGAUGCUCCCAGCCGCAGUGAAAGCGAGCCUGAAUAGGGCGUUUAAGUCAGAGGGGGUAGACGCGAAACCAAGUGAUCUACACUUGACCAGGUUGAAGUUCCGGUAACACGGAAUGGAGGACCGCACCGAUAAGCGUUGAAAAGCUUCCGGAUGAGUUGAGUGUAGGAGUGAAAGGCCAAUCAAACUUGGAGAUAGCUCGUACUCCCCGAAAGGCAUUUAGGUGCCGCGUGCAUCGAUCUCCAUGAGAGGUAGAGCGACCGAUAGGUCAAGAGGGCUUCACCGCCUAUCGAGACCUGACGAACUCCGAAUGCUCACGGACUGCAGCCAUGCAGUAAGGGGGCGGGUGCUAAGGUCCGUCCCCGAGAGGAGAAGAAUCCAGACCGCCGUCUAAGGCCCCGAAAUUCUGUCUGAGUUAGUCUAACGAAGUCCGGUCCCCAUGACAGCUAGGAUGUUGGCUUGGAAGCAGCCAUUCAUUCAAAGAGUGCGUAACAGCUCACUAGUCGAGGGUCCGGGCAUGGAUAAUAAUCGGGUAUAAGUCAGAUGCCGAAGGCGCGGGAUAGCAAUGUAUAUUAAAAGUAUCGGUAGGGGAGCAUACCAUGUGCGCAGAAUGGUGAAGAUGACUGAUCCUGGAGCGCAUGGUAAAGCAAAUGUAGGUAUAAGUAACGACAAGAGGGGUAAGAUUCCCCUCCGCCGUAAGUCUAAGGUUUCCCGGGCAAUGCCAAUCAUCCCGGGGUAAGUCGGGUCCUAAGUCUCAGCCGAAUGGCGAAGGCGAUGGCAGAAACGGUCAACAUUCCGUUACUACCUUCAGGAGCGACGUGGAGACGGAGCAGUGACACUGCCGCGGGGCGACGGAAGUCCCCGUUGAAGAGCGUAGGCGUUGAUCGGAGCAGGCAAAUCCACUCCGAGAGCCGACCUUGACAGUACGGCCUCCCCCUCGGGGGAAGCUGACAGCGCAGGUAACCAUACUCCCGAGAAAAUCCGCUAAGCUUUAUCCUGUGGGUACCCGUACCGCAAUCCGACACAGGUAGACGGGUAGAACAUACUGAGGCGUUGAGAGAUUCAUGGUUAAGGAACUAGGCAAACUGACCCCGUAACUUCGGGAUAAGGGGUCCUCAUAGCAAUAUGAGGCGCAGAGAAUAGGUCCAGGCAACUGUUUAACAAAAACACAGGGCUGUGCAAACUCGAAAGAUGACGUAUACAGCCUGACACCUGCCCGGUGCCGGAAGGUUAAGAGGAGAGCUCAUCCUUUAAGGUGAAGGUUUGAAUUGAAGCCCCGGUAAACGGCGGCCGUAACUAUAACGGUCCUAAGGUAGCGAAAUUCCUUGUCGGGUAAGUUCCGACCUGCACGAAUGGUGUAAUGAUCCGGACGCUGUCUCAACCAUGAUCUCAGUGAAAUUGUAGUAUCGGUGAAGAUGCCGAUUACCCGCGAUGGGACGAAAAGACCCCGUGAACCUUUACUACAGCUUAGCAUUGAUCUCGGUCAUCCGAUGUGUAGGAUAGGCCGGAGGCUUCGAAGCGCGGGCGCCAGCCUGUGUGGAGCCAUCCUUGAAAUACGGCCCUUUGGCUGUCUGAGGUCUAACCCGCACGAUUGCGGGGACACUGCUUGGUGGGUAGUUUGACUGGGGUGGUCGCCUCCAAAAGCGUAACGGAGGCUUCCAAAGGUGCCC